rnacentral:rRNA from 1 species
UACGGAGGGUCCAAGCGUUAUCCGGAAUCAUUGGGUUUAAAGGGUCCGUAGGCGGAUAAUUAAGUCAGUAGUGAAAUCCCGCAGCUUAACUGUGGAACUGUUAUUGAUACUGGUUUUCUUGAAUAUAGUUGAAGUAGGCGGAAUGUGUAAUGUAGCGGUGAAAUGCUUAGAUAUUACACAGAACACCGAUUGCGAAGGCAGCUUACUAAGCUAUGAUUGACGCUGAGGUACGAAAGCGUGGGGAGCGAACAGG